ACUGAACGCUGGCGGCAUGCUUUACACAUGCAAGUCGAACGGCAGCACGGGUGCUUGCACCUGGUGGCGAGUGGCGAACGGGUGAGUAAUGCAUCGGAACGUAUCCAAUAAUGGGGGAUAACGCAUCGAAAGGUGUGCUAAUACCGCAUACGCCCUGAGGGGGAAAGUGGGGGACCGUAAGGCCUCACGUUAAUGGAGCGGCCGAUGCCUGAUUAGCUAGUUGGUGAGGUAAAGGCUCACCAAGGCGACGAUCAGUAGCUGGUCUGAGAGGAUGAUCAGCCACACUGGGACUGAGACACGGCCCAGACUCCUACGGGAGGCAGCAGUGGGGAAUUUUGGACAAUGGGCGCAAGCCUGAUCCAGCCAUGCCGCGUGAGUGAAGAAGGCCUUCGGGUUGUAAAGCUCUUUCGCAAGGGAAGAAAACUUAGUUCUUAAUACGAGCUGAGGAUGACGGUACCUUGAUAAGAAGCACCGGCUAACUACGUGCCAGCCGCCGCAGUAAAAC
rnacentral:rRNA from 1 species